UACGUAGGGUGCAAGCGUUGUCCGGAAUUAUUGGGCGUAAAGAGCUCGUAGGCGGUCUGUCGCGUCUGCUGUGAAAACUCAGGGCUUAACCCUGAGCUUGCAGUGGGUACGGGCAGACUAGAGUGUGGUAGGGGAGACUGGAAUUCCUGGUGUAGCGGUGAAAUGCGCAGAUAUCAGGAGGAACGCCGAUGGCGAAGGCAGGUCUCUGGGCCACUACUGACGCUGAGAAGCGAAAGCAUGGGGAGCGAACAGG
rnacentral:rRNA from 1 species